GUGGCUGCCGGAUGGGUGCUCUCUACUAGUGCUGUGCAGAGACUUUCGCUGAGGUUGCUGUGAGCCUGUAGGGUUUACCCCUAGGCUACAGAGCCUG
rnacentral:pre_miRNA from 1 species